UAGGUAACCUGCCUCUAAGAUUGGGAUAACUUGUCGAAAGACGAGCUAAUACCAAAUAAGACCACGGUCUCCUUGGGGACAGAGGUCAAAGGUAGCCUCUAUUUAUAAGCUAUCGCUGAGAGAUGGGCCUGCGUACCAUUAGCUUGUUGGUGAGGUAACGGCUCACCAAGGCAAAGAUGGUUAGCUGGUCUGAGAGGAUGAUCAGCCACACUGGAA
rnacentral:rRNA from 1 species